GACGAACGCUGGCGGCGUGCUUAACACAUGCAAGUCGAACGGAAAGGCCCUGCUUUUGUGGGGUGCUCGUGUGGCGAACGGGUGAGUAACACGUGAGUAACCUGCCCUUGACUUUGGGAUAUCUUCAGGAAACUGGGUCUAUUACAGGAUAGUAUCUCUUGCUGCAUGGUGGGGGUUGGUAAGUUUCGGCGGUUGUGGAUGGUCUCGCGGCUUAUCAGCUUGUUGGUGAGGUAGUGGCUUACAAAGGCUUUGACGGGUAGCCGGCCUGAGAGGGUGAACGGGCACAAGAGGACUAAGAUACGGAGCAGACUCGUACGGGAAGCAGCAGUGGGGAAUAUUGCACAAUGGGGGGAAGUCUGAUGCAGAAGCGCCGCGUGCGGGAUGACGGCCUUCGGGUGGUGACCCGAUUUCGACUGAGACGAAGCGUGAGUGACGGUAAUGGGUAAAGAAGCACCGGCUAACUACGUG
rnacentral:rRNA from 1 species